rnacentral:rRNA from 1 species
UUUAGAGUUNGAUCCUGGCUCAGGAUGAACGCUGGCGGUCUGCUUAACACAUGCAAGUCGAACGGAAUCCUUAGGGAUUUAGUGGCGGACGGGUGAGUAACACGUAAGAACCUGCCUCUAGGACGGGGACAACAGUUGGAAACGACUGCUAAACCCGGAUGAGCCGAAAGGUAAAAGAUUAAUCGCCUAGAGAGGGGCUUGCGUCUGAUUAGCUAGUUGGUGAGGUAAGAGCCCACCAAGGCGACGAUCAGUAGCUGGUCUGAGAGGAUGAUCAGCCACACUGGGACUGAGACACGGCCCAGACUCCUACGGGAGGCAGCAGUGGGGAAUUUUCCGCAAUGGGCGAAAGCCUGACGGAGCAAGACCGCGUGGGGGAGGAAGGUUCUUGGAUUGUCAACCCCUUUUCUCAGGGAAGAACACAAUGACGGUACCUGAGGAAAAAGCAUCGGCUAACUCCGUGCCAGCAGCCGCGGUAAUACGGGGGAUGCAAGCGUUAUCCGGAAUGAUUGGGCGUAAAGAGUCCGUAGGUAGUCAUCCAAGUCUGCUGUUAAAGAGCGAGGCUUAACCUCGUAAAGGCAGUGGAAACUGGAAGACUAGAGUGUAGUAGGGGCAGAGGGAAUUCCUGGUGUAGCGGUGAAAUGCGUAGAGAUCAGGAAGAACACCGGUGGCGAAGGCGCUCUGCUGGGCUAUAACUGACACUGAGGGACGAAAGCUAGGGGAGCGAAUGGGAUUAGAUACCCCAGUAGUCCUAGCGGUAAACGAUGGAAACUAGGUGUGGCCUGUAUCGACCCGAGCCGUGCCGAAG